AGCGAGUGAUUGUAAGCAAAUCUCAAAAAUAACGUCUCAGUUCGGAUUGUAGUCUGCAACUCGACUACAUGAAGCUGGAAUCGCUAGUAAUCGCGAAUCAGCAUGUCGCGGUGAAUACGUUCCCGGGUCUUGUACACACCGCCCGUCACACCAUGGGAGUUGGUAACGCCCGAAGCCAGUGACCCAACCUUUAGAGGAGGGAGCUGUCGAAGGUGGGACCGAUAACUGGGGUGAAGUCGUAACAAGGUAGC
rnacentral:rRNA from 1 species